ensembl:lncRNA
CUUAGCUUAGCGGUCGGGCAGCCUCGGGUCGUGCUAGCCCGCUUAGCUUAGCGGGGCUCGUUAAGGGUAACCGCCAGAUAUAAGUCCGGACAAACUUUGCAGGGGGAGAAUGAGGCACUUUAUUGAACCAGCAGCAACUGUCCACGUGCACUAGCUUCCCACUCUUGUCCUGUAUAACUGGCUGUAUCAUCAUGGUGCAUCUCACUAUGCCUCCGCUUCCACGCUCAUCUCUGCAACACACACACCUGCAGCGCUCCUCCUCACGUCACACUCACACAUACACACACACCGCAACCUGCCAAGGGUAAAGGAGAGCAGACUCGGCCUGCAACAGCUGCAUCAUAUGCAUUUCUUUUGUGUGUUUUCCAUGAUGAGGGUGUGUGCACGAAGCGCAAAAUGACUGAUUUGAAGAAUUUAGUGUGCGUGUGUUUGAUUUAAUUCGAACAGUUUUAUUGGUCCACUGUGACCUGUUCGGUAAUUUUAUUGGUCUGAUGUGACGAGGCUAAAUCUAUUGAUGGCAUGAAGCUCGCACGUAAAAAUCUAUACAUUAGCCGCAUCGUUGUAUAAGCCGCAGGGUUCAAAGCGUGAGAAAAAAGUAGCGGCUUAUAGUCCGGAAAUUACGGUAUUUUGCUGCUUUGCAGAGAACACAUCAAUAACUAAGAUUUAGAUUACACACUCAAUCACGAGUUUGAAACAUUUUUAAAAAAUACGUUUUAAUUGAGUCUUGAUUCAGCCUUCUGCAAUGCUGAUAAGGCUUUAGGAUGAAAAAGAAAAUAAUAUCUGGCUGAAAUUCUAACUUUUGGAGUGAAUCUAGCUCCAUAUUGUACCAAUUUAAAGAGUAGCGUGAAUUUUUCUUGUGUAAAAGUAUAAUGGAACUACUGAACAGCAAAUGUGAAAUAUUGCUUAUUAAGGUAGAUGUUAUUUCUCACAUCCUACUGUAAAAGUAGAUAUUAUUAAAACAUACUGUUAUUUCUUGUUUUCAACGAAUACCUGUCAGCAUUUGUCAGUCAUACAUAAAAAUUAUUUUUUAAAUAAGUGCCACUUUUUAUACAUGCUUUUAAAUAAAAUUUAACAUACA